UACGUAGGGUGCGAGCGUUGUCCGGAAUUAUUGGGCGUAAAGAGCUCGUAGGCGGUCUGUCGCGUCGGUCGUGAAAACUUGGGGCUUAACCCUGAGCUUGCGGUCGAUACGGGCAUGACUGGAGUUCGGCAGGGGAGACUGGAAUUCCUGGUGUAGCGGUGAAAUGCGCAGAUAUCAGGAGGAACACCGGUGGCGAAGGCGGGUCUCUGGGCCGAUACUGACGCUGAGGAGCGAAAGCGUGGGGAGCAACAGGA
rnacentral:rRNA from 1 species